rnacentral:lncRNA from 1 species
UCUUUGUUGUUCAAGUGUUAGACAUCUGCCACUUCUCAUAAUACUAGAAUCCACACAGGGUAGUUCAAUCACAGAAUCUCCCAUUAGAGAUUGGAAUACCUUCAAGAAUUCCAUUUCUACAGCAAUAGGCUCAGUCAAUUUGAUACAUGUAUCAGUAUGAAUAGAAGUGAUAUUGUUUUGCCCUGUCCUGAUCCUCCAUUGUGCAUAAAAAUACUUGGUGUUUGCAUCUCCACAUUCAAUCCAAGUAGCUUUGGAUUUUUGCCUCAGUAC